GCCAAGCAUGGUUGCGUGUGCCUGUAGUCUCAGCUACUCAGCAGGCUGAGGCAGGAGAAUGGCUUGGGCCCAGAAGUUCAAAGCAAGCCUGAGCAACAUAGCAAGACCUUAUCUUUU
rnacentral:sRNA from 1 species